GGGUUAGUGAGUCAUGAGUGAUUUGCUUCCCCUACGAUUCAGCGCAGGAAGGGAGGGGCCGCCAGUUUGCUGCCACACAGUACCUGAGACAAUUCUCACCAUCAUCUCGUCGCUUGGCUUACCGCGGUGGCUCAGGUUAUUGCUGUCGCUUUAUUUACCCCUCACCUUCCUGCCCCCGACCACUACCUCGGUAUUUCACGGUUUUUGCAUUCGGCAUUCUGGCUGCUAAACGGACCCCUCUGCCCCCCCUCUGGUCAGUCCUCCACCUGCAAAGACUUGCACCGAGACUCCUGACUAUAUUUCCUGGUAUUCGUGCCCACCCCCCCAGUCUCUGGCCCAAAGCCCUCAAUGAUUGCACAUACUCUUGUGAAGGGUUUUUUGGGGGGUAGUUGUGGAUUCUUGUUUAAAAUCAUAGACCAUCUAAGUUUUCAGUUCAUAGUUCUGAAGUUCCUGCUUUUCUGGUGGUUCUUUAUUAGUUCUUAGCUCAUGGUUUUGAUGUCUUACUUAAUUUUACUCUUACUUUAUUGUGUCACUUUAUAAAUAAAGC